CAUAACCCAGUACCUGAAGUGUGCAUCACACUUCCAACUGGACUUAUAAAAGCAGUUCUUCCCUGCUGCUUAACACCUCUUCCUCAAUCUCAAUACUUUGAGUUGUUUCAGCUUCAAACCUAGUACAGCCACAUCUCAGUCAUGUCUGGAGUUAAAGGAGGACACCAGCAAAAAUCCCACUGUCAGGAACCCUGCAAGGAUCCUUGCCAAAAGCAUGAACCCUGCCAUGAACCAUGCCAUAAAAGUGAAUGCCAUGACCCCUGCAAACCAGCUCAGCACCACCAGGACCCAUGCUGCCAGAAAAAAGAGCACUGUGAGCCAUGUCAUCCUGAGCCCUGUAAAAAGCACUGAUAGAAAAAUCAGAAAAGAAGACAUUUAAAGAAAUGUUCAUGCUUCUAAAAUCUUUAAAUGACAAAUCUUGCAAUAGUAUUAUGUUAGAUGCAAUGCUGAACUAAAUAAAUAUAACUGACGCAGUGA